AUGAGUAGCCAACCAGUUCAAAUACAUGAUCUAGUGUCAUUACAGGCAUUAAACACUUUUAGAGAUGUAAUAAAACAAGGACCAACAUAUGUUUGCACAUGCUGUGCAAAAGCACUUUUCUCCAAUCACGAUUUUGAAUUCCACUCGAAAUACUUCUUACAAAUAAAAGGAACUGCGAUGGGAAAACGCUUUGCACCCUCGUAUGCUAAUAUUUUCAUGGCUCAUUGGGAAGAGACUGCUUUGGCUACGGCACCACUUAAACCGUUUUCGUAUUUCAGAUUUUUAGAUGACAUCUGGGGAGUGUGGACGUACUCGAAAGAGGAUUUCAUAAAAUUUACUGAGCACUUGAAUCAACAUGAAAGAUCUAUUAAAAUAAAAUUUGAGUUGGACAGUGAAAGAGUCAAUUUUUUAGAUGUAGUGACUUAUAAAGGACCUAAAUUUCAACAGAGCAACCAACUAGACUAUAAGGUCUACUUUAAGGAGACGGAUACACAUUGCCUAUUACAUAGGAGUAGUUUCCACCCGAGACACACUUUCAAAGGGAUACUUAAAUCACAAUUGUUGAGAUUCCACCGUAUAUGCUCACAGAAAGAAGAAUUUUUAAAAGCGGUCAAAAUUUUAUUUAAAGCACUCAAACACAGAGGCUAUACGAGACCGUUUCUGAGAAAUGUCUUAAGAGAAUUCAAAGAUUACAUCGAGAAACCUGCACUGCCAGCUCAAAAUACGGAAGAGAAAAUUAUACCUUUGGUCACCUUUUACUCAUCUCAAAGCACACAACUAAAUUGGGCUACUAAACAAAAUUUUACUGAGUUUUUGAAAGAGACUUCUCAUUUACAGAAUCACAAACCAAUUGCGGCCUAUAAAAGAAAUAAAAAUCUAUUGGAUAUUUUAGUACAAAGCAAAAUACAAAGUCUUAAUACCAAUAUGAAUCCCAAAGCAGGAUCGUGUAAAUAUUAUGUGCACUUGAGAUGGGUAAAGAAUAGGACCAGUAAACAGAUCUUCCAGGUUGAUUCAAAUACUUCAGUGGAAACCGCCAACUGUGUAUAUAUGAUCUUUUGCAAUAAGUGCAAGAGACAAUACGUGGGACAGACGAAGAAUGAACUUAGAAAGAGAAUUUAUCAGCAUACUCAUAACAUUAUAAACAAAAUAGAAAAACGUAGAUUCAUUGUAAGACACUUCAUGUCCCACGGCCUUCCCUCUCUCAGAGCCACGGUGCUCCAAGCCAACUCUCUCUGGGAUCUAAAAGAUAGACUCAAGGCAGAGAGAAGUUGGAUCAAAAAAUUGGGUACAUUAUACCCAAGGGGCCUCAAUGAGGUCUGA
ensembl:lncRNA